rnacentral:rRNA from 1 species
UCCGUAGGCGGUUUGAUAAGUCAGUGGUGAAAGCCCUACGCUUAACGUAGGAACGGCCAUUGAUACUGUCAGACUUGAAUUAUUAGGAAGUAACUAGAAUAUGUAGUGUAGCGGUGAAAUGCUUAGAGAUUACAUGGAAUACCAAUUGCGAAGGCAGGUUACUACUAAUGGAUUGACGCUGAUGGACGAAAGCGUGGGUAGCAAACAGGAUUAGAUACCCUGGUAGUCC